GAAGUUGUCACCUGUCCAGGCCUUCUUGCCAGAAAGACUUCCUGAGUUUGUUCUGUUUUCCAUUUCUAGUUAGUGUUACUAAACUUGAGAGAAAGCAGAGGUGGAGGGAAGUGAGGAAUCCUGUUGUACCAAGGAUCACACAUGACCACAGGUACCCACAGAGGUGGAGGGAAUGUGAUGUCCUGGAGGUGGAGUUACCGACAGUUGUGAGCAUCCUUUCAUAGGUUCUAGAAACAUCUCUCAGGACCUUUGUAAGAUUUAACUGCUGACCCUUCAUUCCAGCCUCUGACUUUGGAAUUGUCUUAAAGAUAUUUUAACAUC